AUGGCGUCGACCUCGAGCUUGGAUUUGGGAAAGACCGUGCCGCCGGCUGGCUUCCUUCUCCACCGCCGCGUCGCCGUCCUCAGCGCCCCUGUUCUCUGGGGGAGGAGCGCGAGCGGGCGGUGCGGCCUCGCCAUCUCCGUCUCGUCCUCCAGUGGUGCAGCUGGGCUCUCCCCACUGAGUGACUCGGAGAAGAAAGGCCCUGUGGUGAUGGAGAUCCCGCUGGAAGAUAUCCGGAGGCUGGUAAUGCGAACACGUGCUACUGAUUCUGACAAGGUGCAGGAACUCAUGGACAACAUCCGUGUCAUCGGCCUCCAAGUACCUUUGGGCAUCCUUUCCAUUAACAUUAAUUUUUCCAAAAAAAAAAUUUUAGCUUAUAAGAUAAAUUAUGUCAGAACUGGAAUUUUCUUAUGUGGAAUGAGUACAUACAAAUAA
rnacentral:rRNA from 1 species